ACCUUUUUUUUUUCCAUUCUCUUCUAUUUCCCCCUUUGUUUUCCUCCUUUCUUCAUUUCUUUUAAUGUAAAUUUUCUAUGUUUCCUAUUUGUUAAAACUAGUCCACGAGCUCGCCUCACUCAAAAAAAUUAAAUUGUUCAAAAACAUAAAAGUAUAGGGACUAGUUUUAACAAAUGAAAAACAUAGAAAAACUACGUUAAAAGAAAUGGGGAACGGAGGAAAACAGAGGGAGAAGCAGAAGAGAAUAAAAAAAAAGG
rnacentral:pre_miRNA from 1 species